rnacentral:rRNA from 1 species
UACGUAGGGGGCAAGCGUUGUCCGGAAUCAUUGGGCGUAAAGAGCGUGUAGGCGGCUUGGUAAGUCCGCUGUGAAAGUCCAGGGCUCAACCCUGGAAUGCCGGUGGAAACUGUCAAGCUUGAGUCCGGAAGAGGCGAGUGGAAUUCCUGGUGUAGCGGUGAAAUGCGCAGAUAUCAGGAGGAACACCGGUGGCGAAGGCGGGUCUCUGGGCCGGAACUGACGCUGAGGAGCGAAAGCGUGGGGAGCGAACAGG